rnacentral:lncRNA from 1 species
AGACGAUGCACGAGUCACUCUGUGUUCGCUCUUCCAGGUGACUUUCCUGCCGAAACGUGAGCAAAAUCCUGCCGCAACUAUCCUGUUUGCCGGCUCUGAGGAUGGCUGCAUUUAUGCUUCAUCAUAGGUUGUUAAGACUGAAGAUGCUAAAGGUGUUAGGCUUUGUCCUGUGUGGUCUGCUGAUGUCAUUGCAAAGUUCAAAUGCAGAAAGCACCAUCAUCUCUCAAGAAGCAUAUGAGAAGGCCUGUGAAGAUUCAACAAAUAGCCUUUUUGAGUCUGAAAUGAGCAAAUUCACGUUCCCAGAAUUAAAAGUGGAUUCAAUAACUAUCAAAGGGCUGUACGUCAUGAAUGUUACAAUUCUUCCAAUAAAGGCCAAGUGCAUCCCUGGAGCUGGGGUCAAGGUGUACUUUUCCGCUCUUCUGAGUAUCUUUGGUACUUGUGGAAAUGUCCUUGUGCCUGGCGUGGUCACUGUCACUGUGAGGUUAAACUGCAGCGCACUGGUUCUGCUGGAAGRCUACUCGCCAGACAACAGCUCUGUUGGUGUCAGGGACUACACAUGUGACGCGAGUCUGAYAGAUGUCGAAAUAAGCUUGAGCAAUGUUGACUUAAGCGUGGAAGCAACGUUGAGAAACAACAUCCUGUUUGAGUUAAAAAACAAGACACCUAAAAUACUUUCAAGUUGCUUUUCCAUUGGGCACAGGAAGCUGCUGCAUCGUAUAAAUUCUGUAAUUGCAUUUGAGACAGGGAAAAUCAUAUAUGUGCCCAAGCCCCCCAAAGUACAUAACUACUCCAUUGAAAUACCUCUGCAGGUAAGUGCAAGCUCUG